rnacentral:misc_RNA from 1 species
GUGAAUCAUCGAAUUUUUGAACGCAUAUUGCACUCUCUGGUAUUCCGGAGAGUAUUCCUGUGUGAGGGUAAUUAAAAAUAAUCUUUAACCCUUUUUGUGUGGUCAAAGCAAUUGAGCUCUCCUCGUUUAUAUCGGUAUCUUGAAAUAAAUGAUCAAGUCUCAUUUUAGUCGAGACGCUUAAUAUUAUUAUUUCGCGAAAUCUUCAUUAUGUAACUAUCAAAUUUUGAUGCAUACAAAUUUGCUUUGUAUGCGAGCAAUACUAAUAUUUUUAACAUUACCUCAAAUCAGAUAU